rnacentral:rRNA from 1 species
GACAGAGGAGCCAAGCGUUGUCCGGAGUAACUGGGCGUAAAGCGCACGCAGGCGGUCGUGCACGUGGGGUGUGAAAGCUCUUGGCUCAACUGAGAGAGGUCACCUCAUACGGCGCGGCUGGAGCGCUGCAGAGGUCCACGGAAUUGCCGGUGUAGUGGUGAAAUGCGUAGAGAUCGGCAGGAACACCCAGGGGGAAACCAGUGGACUGGGCAGCGGCUGACGCUCAGGUGCGAAAGCGUGGGGAGCGAACCGG